GGUGAGGUCCCCGAUGGAGAGGAUCUUUUUUCUCUUUAUCUUUUUUUUCUUUUUUUUCUGUUGGAGUGGGAAGAGAGAUUUUUUUGGAGAGUGAGCGAGAGGGGCGCGUGUUGUCUGUCUACACGUGCCAGAGUGAGAGAGGUAUUUGUUGAGAGUUGAAAGAGAGAGUGAGUGGCGUGUAGUAGACCGUUGGGAGUGGAUCCC
rnacentral:lncRNA from 1 species